GCCUAUCUGAGGUGAUGUCGGGGAAGUGUAAGAUAUUACCAAGUAUCGUACUCUGGAUGACGGGAAGAUGAUGCGGCUUCACUACCGACGCGUAAGUCUUCCUGUACGCUCCGACGAAACACCGAGAAUUCACAAUGAAUCUACCGGCGGGGCCGCCGGCAACCGGCCGCGAAGGCGCCUUACGGCCGUCGGCAGACGAUGAAUCAGUAGAUUGCGACGACUUCGACGCCAUUGCAAGCAAUGUAGAUUUAGAUUGGCCGUGUAUUCACCGAUGGGAUUCGAAGUGGACGAUGGUGGUUACAAAUAGAAAUGCGGCUGAUAGGGCAAUGACCGACGUAAGGCGGUUUAAAGCCCUUAAAAAAUUAGAAUAGGGUAACAGGGAGCAACAGGAGUUUGAAAGUUAGUGGGAUGCUAGUAUGGGCCAACCUUCUCACGAAACAGCGUAAGAGUCCAUACAAAACCUGACACAUUAGUACAACAAACAGCCAACAGCGAGAAUGUGAAAAAUAGUGGC
rnacentral:lncRNA from 1 species